rnacentral:tRNA from 1 species
AUACUGGUGGUUCAAUAGUAGAAUUCUCACCUUCCAUGCGGGAGACAUGGGUUUGAUUCCCAACCAGUGCA